rfam:Bacillus sp. MTM 13 34, whole genome shotgun sequence.
UAACCUAUUUAGUGAUAAAUAGCUGAACAGUCAGAAGUCAGCAGAUCAUAGUACCAAUGGUAUCUAGAGCCAUUGGGAAGGAC